rnacentral:rRNA from 1 species
CGCUGAGUUUGAUCCUGGCUCAGAUUGAACGCUGGCGGAAUGCUUUACACAUGCAAGUCGAACGGUAGAGGGGGCAACCCCUUGAGAGUGGCGAACGGGUGAGUAAUAUAUCGGAACGUGCCCAGUCGUGGGGGAUAACGUAGUGAAAAUUACGCCAAUACCGCAUACGAUCUAUGGAUGAAAGCGGGGGAUCGCAAGCCUCGCGCGAUUGGAGCGGCCGAUAUCAGAUUAGGUAGUUGGUGGGGUAAAACGCCCACCGAAGGCGACGAUCUGUAGCUGGUCUGAGAGGACGACCAGCCACACUGGAACUGAGACACGGUCCAGACCUCCGUACGGGAGGCAGCGAGUGGGGUAAUUUUGGACAAGUGACGCAAGUCUG